rnacentral:rRNA from 1 species
CCCUUAGAUGUUCUGGGCUGCACGCGCGCUACACUGAAGCGUUCAACGAGUAUUCACCUUGCCCGGGAGGGUUGGGUAAUCUUUUGAAAACGCUUCGUGAUGGGGAUAGAUUAUUGCAAUUAUUAAUCUUCAACGAGGAAUUCCUAGUAAGCGUGAUUCAUCAAAUCGCGUUGAUUACGUCCCUGCCCUUUGUACACACCGCCCGUCGCUCCUACCGAUUGAGUGUGUUGGUGAGGAGUUCGGAUUGGCAGCAGGUGGUGGUUCGCCACCGCCUAUUGCUGAGAAGUUCUCCAAACCGCCCCACUUAGAGGAAGGAGAAGUCGUAACA